UACAGAGGGCGCGAGCGUUGUCCGGAAUCACUGGGCGUAAAGGGCGCGUAGGUGGCGCGACAAGUCAGUGGUGAAAGUUCGACGCUCAACGUCGAAUCGGCCACUGAUACUGUUGGGCUUGAGCACUGUAGAGGCUAAUGGAAUUCCGGGUGUAGCGGUGGAAUGCGUAGAGAUCCGGAAGAACACCGGUGGCGAAGGCGGUUAGCUGGGCAGUUGCUGACACUGAGGCGCGACAGCGUGGGGAGCAAACAGGG
rnacentral:rRNA from 1 species